rnacentral:tRNA from 1 species
GGGGAUUUAGCUCAGUGGUAGAGCGCUUGCAUAGCAACCGCAAGGCCCUGGGUUCGGUUCCCAGCUCCG